CCUACGGGAGGCAGCAGUGAGGAAUAUUGGUCAAUGGACGAGAGUCUGAACCAGCCAAGUAGCGUGAAGGAUGACUGCCCUAUGGGUUGUAAACUUCUUUUAUAAAGGAAUAAAACGAGGCACGUGUGCCUUUUUGCAUGUACUUUAUGAAUAAGGAUCGGCUAACUCCGUGCCAGCAGCCGCGGUAAGACGGAGGAUCCGAGCGUUAUCCGGAUUUAUUGGGUUUAAAGGGAGCGUAGAUGGGUUGUUAAGUCAGUUGUGAAAGUUUGCGGCUCAACCGUAAAAUUGCAAUUGAUACUGGCAGUCGUGAGUACAGUUGAGGUAGGCGGAAUUCGUGGUGUAGCGGUGAAAUGCUUAGAUAUCACGAAGAACCCCGAUUGCGAAGGCAGCUUACUAAACUGUGACUGACAUUGAUGCUCGAAAGUGUGGGUAUCAAACAGGAUUAGAUACCCUUGUAGUC
rnacentral:rRNA from 1 species